rnacentral:rRNA from 1 species
AAACCAACAGGGAUUGCCUUAGUAACGGCGAGUGAAGCGGCAACAGCUCAAAUUUGAAAUCUGGCCCUCGGGUCCGAAUUGUAAUUUGUAGAGGAUGAUUUUGGUGCGGUAUCUUCCGAGUUCCUUGGAACAGGACGCCUUAGAGGGUGAGAGCCCCGUACGGUUGAAUGCCUAGCCUCUGUAAAUCUCCUUCGACGAGUCGAGUAGUUUGGGAAUGCAGCUCAAAAUGGGUGGUAAAUUUCAUCUAAAGCUAAAUAUUGGCCAGAGACCGAUAGCGCACAAGUAGAGUGAUCGAAAGAUGAAAAGCACUUUGGAAAGAGAGUUAAACAGUACGUGAAAUUGUUGAAAGGGAAGCGCUUGCAACCAGACUUGCAUGUAGCUGAUCAACCGGUGUUCUCACCGGUGCACUCAGUUGCGUUCAGGCCAGCAUCGGUUUCGACGGUUGGAUAAAGGCCUUGGGAAUGUAGCUCCUUUCGGGGAGUGUUAUAGCCCAGGGUGCGAUGCAGCCUGUUGGGACCGAGGACCGCGCUUCGGCUAGGAUGCUGGCGUAAUGGUUGUAAGCGAC